rnacentral:rRNA from 1 species
GGCGCCGNGGAAUUCGAUUAGAGUUUGAUCCUGGCUCAGGACGAACGCUGGCGGCGUGCUUAACACAUGCAAGUCGAGCGGUAAGGCCCUUCGGGGUACACGAGCGGCGAACGGGUGAGUWACACGUGGGUGAUCUGCCUCGUACUUCGGGAUAAGCCUGGGAAACUGGGUCUAAUACCGGAUAUKACCACAUKCUGCAUGGUGUGUGGUGGAAAGAUUUAUCGGUGCGAGAUGGGCCCGCGGCCUAUCAGCUUGUUGGUGGGGUAAUGGCCUACCAAGGCGACGACGGGUAGCCGACCUKAGAGGGUGACCGGCCACACUGGGGACUGAGACACGGCCCARACUCUACGGGAGGCAGCAGUGGGGAAUAUUGCACAAUGGGCGGAAGCCUGAUGCAGCGACGCCGCGUGAGGGAUGACGGCUUCGGGUUGUAAACUCUUUCGACAGGGACGAAGCGCAAGUGACGGUACCUGUAGAAGAAGCACCGGCCAACUACGUGCCAGCAGCCGCGGUAAUACGUAGGGUGCGAGCGUUGUCCGGAAUUACUGGGCGUAAAGAGCUUGUAGGCGGUUUGUCGCGUCUUCUGUGAAAACUCAACAGCUCAACUGUGAGCUUGCAGGGGAUACGGGCAGACUAGAGUACUUCAGGGGAGACUGGAAUUCCUGGUGUACGCGGUGAAAUGCGCAGAUAUCAGGAGGAACACCGGUGGCGAAGGCGGGUCUCUGGGAAGUAACUGACGCUGAGAAGCGAAAGCGUGGGUAGCGAACAGGAUUAGAUACCCUGGUAGUC